rnacentral:rRNA from 1 species
UACAGAGGUCCCGAGCGUUGUUCGGAUUCAUUGGGCGUAAAGGGUGCGCAGGCGGUUGGGUGUGUCGAGAUGUGAAAUCCCGAGGCUUAACCUCGGAACUGCGUCUGAAACCACUCGACUAGAGUAACUGGAGAGGGUAACGGAAUUCACGGUGUAGCAGUGAAAUGCGUAGAUAUCGUGAGGAACACCAGAGGCGAAGGCGGUUACCUGGACAGUUACUGACGCUCAGGCACGAAAGCAUGGGGGAGCAAAAGGG